GUUUUUAUUGGCAACUUGACAAGUCAAACUACACAGCCUUUCCCACUCCACCUACAGCACCGUUUUGCAUCAGAUGUGGAGGGAGAGCUGAGUGCAUCUAUCUACUGCCUGGUGAGUCUUGGGCUGUCCACUGUGAAGACAUGGCUCUCUUUGUAACCAUGGUUGCCUUCUUCUUUAAGCUGGGUGUUGACACUAUUCAGGAGUGAGUCCAGAUGUUUAUUUCCUCUGAUUGUGUACCACUUACGGCCACAGCUUCUAUCGGGCUAUCUUCUGCUCGUCAGCUCCUCGAUAAGCCACAGCACUGACUGCUCAUCCUAAACAGAAAUGCAGCUAAAUAGAAGAUGUGCCCCACUAGAGAUGCCAGAAGUAGAAAAAUGUUCUCUGCAGGGACCUCUCUUGGUGGAGGAUGCACACACUCUCAUCCUCACCUCCACAGUGCACAAAGGCUGAAAACACGCACUAGAUUUCAUUACCACGUAUGCUUCCAAGGUCUCCAAGACCUCAGAGUCGAAGUUAGUGAUGGGGUCGUAUUCCUACUUGGUGGCUGAAGCAUACUGCUCUCUGACUUCUGCCACGGAUCCUUUCCUCAAGCACCUCCACAAACACCUGAAGUGAUCUUAGGACCUACUCAGCUGUUCAGUUCCACAUUUCUGCAGACGUAGCAACAAGGGUUGCUGUCCUGACCGGGAUAAACAGUGGGGUGUGUGGAGCUUUUACAGUGAGUCUGGG